UAAGACAAGUAAUUCGGAACGGAGGGAGUACAUGUUUUGAUGAUCGACUCAGACAAAGUAUACAGUUUGCUUGAAUUGAAUUUAUACUGUGAUAUGAAACCAGGAUAAGUCUUAAUCAAUGGCAAUUAAAUUUCUUGUUUGAAUUGCUGAAGAUUUGAAGAAUCGACUCACCCAGAGAUGUUUUUAGUUGGUAUGUAUACAUGUCUGAUUUCUGAAGGUUUGAGCAUAAUGGACAAGACCUAUAUAGGCUAACACUUGGAGUGUGCUUCCUACCGAUGCUGACUAGGCAGAUCAGAUGUUGUUUGCAACUGGUGUCUAAGUUAAUAAGCAGUCUUUUCAGUGAUUCUGUAUAUGCAUAGAGAUUGUUUUGAUGAGCAUGGACACAUCUUUCUUAGUGUGUUCCCGUGCUCACAAACCUUACCCACCUCAUUUCUUAAUAGAUCGAUAAUCAUCAAGUUCCCAGCCUGGCCCUUUUCUCCGUUGAAUAAAUGGAGAACAAAAAAACAAGUUUUUCUCUGCCACAUGGUCAUUGGGCUACGCCAUUUAUUCAGGUUGAGCCUGCUGAAACGGAUGUUACCUACUGGUUAGGGCCCGCUUGGAUUGUCGUUUUCAGGGCAAAUACACCGGUAAAAUAUACCUCCGUAUGGAAAAUUCAGACCGGCUACGCAUGGCUGCUUGGUUGAUCGUUUUUGGUCCGUAAUAUUUACACAGGCGAGGUCGACGGCUUCGCCGCGACGCCGCCGCAACCACCACGGACCGGCAGGCUCUGGCGCCAGCGUCCAUGAUGGAGUGCCGGCGGCGAUGAUUGAUUCUGGCGCCGGCGAGGCGCCGGCGACGUUGACCGCGACGGCGGCUAGGUGAUGACGGGGUUGUUCAUGCGCGUCGCUAUAGGAUCCGCACCACGCGUCAGAUCUCCUUGUUGAUGCCGAUGACCUAGUCCAGCUCGCCCGCCACCGCGCGACUUCUCCGCCGGCUGCGCACGGCCGACGGCCUUGACCAGAGAGGUGGAGAUCGGGAUGGUGUCGGGCAGCAGGAACUGCAAGGGCAGCCUCUUGAGCGGGGGGAGGGGGUGGACGGGAGCGGCGGCGACGGCGGCAGCUUCCUGAUCCAUUCAUCCCCCACGACAGCCAAUGAGGAAGAAGACGCGUGAUUAUGGACGUGGGAACCGUGAAGGGGAAGGACAGAAUUUACAAGCGGAAAUUGUAUCCGGCUGUAAAUUACUGGAGACCAGUAUUAUGCGGUUGUAACUUGUUCCGACUGUAAGAUUUUUUCAGGGCUUCCAAGCGGGGCCUUAGGAAAGAAUUAGUUCUUGGUCGUUUAA